CGCGAUUCGCCCUUGGGUGCCCAGGCGCGAAAACUUUACAAUGCGGGAAACCGUGAUAAGGGAACUCCGAGUGCCCGUAAAAUCGGGCUGUCCAUCUGUUUAAAUAACAGGUGAAGAAAGGGCCGGGCAAGACCGGUGCCAGCCGCCGCGGUAAUACCGGCGGCUCGAGUGGUGGCCACUAUUACUGGGCUUAAAGCGUUCGUAGCUGGUCUGUUAAGUCUCUGGGGAAAUCUACUGGCUUAACCAAUAGGCGUUUCAGGGAUACUGGCAGACUAGGGACCGGGAGAGGUGAGGGGUACUCCAGGGGUAGGAGUGAAAUCCUGUAAUCCUUGGGGGACCACCUGUGGCGAAGGCGCCUCACCAGAACGGCUCCGACAGUGAGGGACGAAAGCUGGGGGAGCAAACCGGAUUAGAUACCCGGGUAGUCCCAGCCGUAAACGAUGCGCGUUAGGUGUAUCGGUGACCACGAGUCACCGAGGUGCCGAAGAGAAAUCGUGAAACGUGCCGCCUGGGAAGUACGGUCGCAAGGCUGAAACUUAAAGGAAUUGGCGGGGGAGCAC
rnacentral:rRNA from 1 species